rnacentral:lncRNA from 1 species
UGUGACCCUGGAGGGAGCCCCAGGUGACUUCCCUAGGGGCACUCACUGCAUGAAGUGGGGGAGAUACCUGGACUCUGGUGAGGUGGGAACUGGAAUGGUACCCAUUUUGCAGAUGAGGAAGCUGAGGCCCAGAGAAGAACAGAGACCUGACUGAAGUAGUUUAUUUACUUGAAAAAUAUUGACUGACAGGGAGUGUUUAACUGUCAGAGUCUCAAUUAGGGAUGGGGAGUGUUCAACGGGUCAGAGGCUCAGUUUAGGGAAGGUGAAAAAGUUCCCCACAGGUGAAGGCCGCACCACAGCAUGAAUCUACUUAAAGUCUCAGAACUGAAGCUUUCAGAGGGUUACAGCGGCAGCUCGUAGGCCAGGUGUGCUGAUUUGGACUUUUGUCUUUGUUUAUGCUGUGUGUAGUUUACCACAAUAAAGCAAAGAAACAAAAAAUAUCGAUCCCCAACUGUGUUUUGGACACUGUGCCAGAUACUGUGGACACAGAGAGGAACAAAACAAAUAUCUCUUCCUUUGUGGAGCUAACAUUCUAGAACAGUGCUGCCCAGAGAACUUUCUGUGAAUGGAGUGACAGAUGGGUGGCCCGUUCUGGAUCUGCUCUGCACAAUAGGGUGGCCCUUAGCUACACGGGGCUAUUAAGCCCUUGAACUGUAGCUAAUGCAAAUGAGGAACUGACUUUAAUUUUAUUUCAUUUUAAUUAAUUUAAAUUCAUCAGCCGCAGGUGGUUGAUGCCUACCAAACUGGACCGUGCAGUUCCAGUGAGUCAUGUGUGCGCCGUUCAGAACCCCGUUCAUCUCCCC